UGCUCCACGGUUCUUCUUUUCCCGCUUCAAUUUUCCAUCUAGGUGGGGCUCUGCUCUUUCCAACUUCAACUCUAUCUGCUUCCCCUCGACUGGAGGAUGGGGAAGGCGCCGCACGCCAUGUGAGUCGCCGCCGCCAAGCUCCCCGUCGCCCUCGGCUCCCAUCCUCCUGCUCGGCGAAACUGCGUGGGUUGCAUCUGGUGGCUCGAGCUCCUUCCGUGAGCCCCCUUCCUCAGUCCUUGCCAUGCCCCUACUCGCUGCGACCAGCAGUGAUGAUUGAGGUCCGACGCCCGAUUGCUCGAACCCAUCGUCAGGCUCCAUAUGGAUCCAACUCCAUCCAGUGUAAAUCAGCUGCCCCGAUAUUCCUUUUGCUCUUCAUGUUUGUAUUUAGUGAGGGAUCCUCUACUCAUGCUGUUGCCAAUUUGAUAAAACAAUGGUCAUCGAGUAACUUUGCAUCGUGUGAGAGAUACUCUCAUGCUGCAGGCAAAUUGACAAUAGCAAUGGCCAUUGAGUAACCCUGCAAUGUGUGGUGGUAUGCAAUUAAAAGCUGAGAAGGAUGCAAAAUUUGAGCUUGUGCUUGAAACAUGGGUUCGCUUGAAGCUACUUUUUGGCAGUAUUGUCAGAUUUUGUGCUAGAUUAACUAGACUUAAACUUAUUUCUUGCUGGAUCAAAAAACUUUGAUGUUGUAUGUAUGUGAUGAGAUGUUGGAUCAGAAUUUAUCUAUAUAUAUGAUCUGGUUUAUAUCUUGAUUUGUGCUGAAAUGAUAAUUGAUUAAUUAGAAAAA